UCGGGAAUUUUGGGCAAUGGGCGAAAGCCUGACCCAGCAACGCCGCGUGAGGGAUGAAGUAUUUCGGUAUGUAAACCUCGAAAGAAUGGGAAGAAUAAAUGACGGUACCAUUUAUAAGCUCCGGCUAACUACGUGCCAGCAGCCGCGGUAAUACGUAGGGAGCAAGCGUUGUUCGGAUUUACUGGGCGUAAAGGGCGCGUAGGCGGCGCGGUAAGUCACUUGUGAAAUCUCUGAGCUUAACUCAGAACGGCCAAGUGAUACUGCUGUGCUAGAGUGCGGAAGAGGCAACCGGAAUUCUUGGUGUAGCGGUGAAAUGCGUAGAUAUCAAGAGGAACACCUGAGGCGAAGGCGGGUUGCUGGGCCGAUACUGACGCUGAUGCGCGAAAGCCAGGGGAGCAAACG
rnacentral:rRNA from 1 species